rnacentral:ncRNA from 1 species
AUCUGUAAAAGGUAUAGCUACCGAAAGGUAGUGACACAAAGUCACCGGUCUAAGGGGCCAUGCUCUAUGACAGCGGAACCGCCAGA